rnacentral:rRNA from 1 species
GGUGAACGCUGGCGGCGUGCUUAAGACAUGCAAGUCGAACGGCAGUCUUCGGACUGUAGUGGCGCACGGGUGAGUAACGCGUAACUGACCUACCCCAAAGUCGCGGAUAACGAUUCGAAAGAAUCGCUAAUACGUGAUGUGCUGUCAGAGUGUGUUCUGCCAGUAAAGGUUGUUUGCUUUGGGAUGGGGUUGCGUUCCAUCAGCUAGUUGGUGGGGUAAAGGCCACCCAAGGCGACGACGGAUAGCCGGCCUGGGAGGGUGGCCGGCCACAGGGGCACUGAGACACGGGUCCCACUCCUACGGGAGGCAGCAGUUAGGAAUCUUCCACAAUGGGCGAAAGCCUGAUGGAGCGACGCCGCGUGAGGGAUGAAGGUCUUCGGAUCGUAAACCUCUGAAUCAGGGACGAAAGACACUUCGGUGGGAUGACGGUACCUGAGUAAUAGCACCGGCUAACUCCGUGCCAGCCGCCGCCGUAAGAC